rnacentral:rRNA from 1 species
GACGUAGGGCGCGAGCGUUAUCCGGAAUUAUUGGGCGUAAAGCGCGCGCAGGCGGUUUCUUAAGUCUGAUGUGAAAGCCCACGGCUCAACCGUGGAGGGUCAUUGGAAACUGGGAAACUUGAGUGCAGAAGAGAAGAGUGGAAUUCCACGUGUAGCGGUGAAAUGCGUAGAGAUGUGGAGGAACACCAGUGGCGAAGGCGACUCUUUGGUCUGUAACUGACGCUGAGGCGCGAAAGCGUGGGGAGCAAACAGG